GACGAACGCUGGCGGCGCGCCUAACACAUGCAAGUCGAGCGAUGAAAUUUUAACCGAUCUCUUCGGAGAGAAGAUAAAAUGGAUUAGCGGCUGACGGGUUAGUAACUCGUGAGAAACCUGCCUUUCACAAGGGGAUAGCCUCGGGAAACCGGGAUUAAUACCCUAUGUCACAUUUCCUUCGCUUGGAAGAAAUGUUAAAACUCCGUUGGUGAAAGAUGGUCUUGCGCCUGAUUAGUUAGUUGGCGGGGUAACGGCCCACCAAAGCCAGAAUCGGUAAACGGGAAGAGAGGGAGAACGGAGACAAUGGAACUGGGAAACAGUCGAAAAUACUACGGGAGGGAGCAGUGGGGAAUAUAGCAAAAUGGAGGAAAAGAAGAUGGAGCGACGACGGGAGAGCGAUGAAGGCUUGGGAGAAGUAAAGCACUGUAAUAUGGGAAGAUAAUGACGGUACCAAAGGAGGAAGCCCCGGCUAACUACGUG
rnacentral:rRNA from 1 species